UCUCUCUCUCUCUCUAAACCCUUCAGCUCCUUCAACUUAAUUCAACCUUCUUCGCUCGGUGAUUCAUCAUUUGGUCGAUCCAAUCUCAGAAUGAUUUUGAUUUCGAAGCUCCACAAUCACCGCCACCGCCACCCCCAUCUGCAUCUGCAUCUGCAUCGUCUACUAACCAUCUGCACGAUUUUGAUUUCAAUCCAAUCUCAGCUCUCGAAUGAUCCAAUCGUUGAUCGGCAGUGACGGAAAAAAUCAACUCCUGUGAGAAAAGAAACCCUAACUUUCUCAUUGGAGAUAGCAAAGUUCUGAUGGAGGUCUGGUUUGGUUGUGAAACAGUGAUACUGGGAACCAGC